rnacentral:lncRNA from 1 species
UGAAGGUGGAUGCAUGCUGACUCAGAUGUCAAGUAAAAAAUCCAACAAGCUUUCAACAAUAUGCACAGAAUGAAUUGGAAAAAGAAUGAAUCACAGCAACGGGACAGACUCAAGAGGAGAGAGAAAUGGGGUAUCGAGACCCGUACAAACACACUCUUCAAGAGAAAACCUAUGGCUAAAGAGAUUCCACAGCAGAGAAAGAGAAAUGAAAUAGGGGGAGAGCAUGAUCCAGGAGCAAGAUCCAGAAGAAAGAGAACCGGGAAGCUUGGUAGAAUUCUGUGAGUCCUGUGAUAUGUAACAACAAGGAGCAUCCACCCAUCCUUUCAUUA